rnacentral:rRNA from 1 species
GAUGAACGCUGGCGGCGUGCCUAAUACAUGCAAGUCGAGCGAACGGACGAGAAGCUUGCUUCUCUGCUGUUAGCGGCGGACGGGUGAGUAACACGUGGCUAACCUACCUAUAAGACUGGGAUAACUUCGGGAAACCGGAGCUAAUACCGGAUAAUAUUUUGAACCGCAUGGUUCAAAAGUGAAAGACGGUCUUGCUGUCACUUAUAGAUGGAUCCGCGCUGCAUUAGCUAGUUGGUAAGGUAACGGCUUACCAAGGCAACGAUGCAUAGCCGACCUGAGAGGGUGAUCGGCCACACUGGAACUGAGACACGGUCCAGACUCCUACGGGAGGCAGCAGUAGGGAAUCUUCCGCAAUGGGCGAAAGCCUGACGGAGCAACGCCGCGUGAGUGAUGAAGGUCUUCGGAUCGUAAAACUCUGUUAUUAGGGAAGAACAUAUGUGUAAGUAACUGUGCACAUCUUGACGGUACCUAAUCAGAAAGCCACGGCUAACUACGUG